AUUUGCCCUGACUUUCCUGACG
rnacentral:miRNA from 1 species